rnacentral:rRNA from 1 species
UACGUAGGGCGCAAGCGUUAUCCGGAAUUAUUGGGCGUAAAGAGCUCGUAGGCGGUUUGUCGCGUCUGCCGUGAAAGUCCGGGGCUCAACCCCGGAUCUGCGGUGGGUACGGGCAGACUAGAGUGAUGUAGGGGAGACUGGAAUUCCUGGUGUAGCGGUGAAAUGCGCAGAUAUCAGGAGGAACACCGAUGGCGAAGGCAGGUCUCUGGGCAUUAACUGACGCUGAGGAGCGAAAGCCAGGGGAGCGAACGGG